rnacentral:misc_RNA from 1 species
CAAAAUUUCACAAGGAUGGUUAAAAACCCACUUCGCAAUUCGCAUUUCUUCACGAGUCACCCAAGCUUUUCCAGUUCAAAAGUUCACAUUAAUCAGUAAUCACCACCCAACUCUUUUUAUUUAUUUAUAUUAAUUGUUCUAUGUUCUGUCCGCCUGUUCUCCCUGUGGACUAAAAAAAAAGGCCCCCAAGAAGAAGAGAAUUUAUAUCUUAUAGCAGUGAUCGUCAAUAACUAUACAUCUACCGAUACGCCCGUCCCUGAUCUAGCCUUUCGUUUUAAUUUCUCUCUCUUUCUUACCCCGCUCUAGCCUGUAAGCUCAGGUUUUACUUGGAAAUCAGGUUCGGGUUCGGAUUCGGGUCCUUCGAGUUACUGACGGAUAAAUGGAAUCAAGCUCUGGCUCCGGCGAGCACAACGUCAGGGGAAUACCUACUUACGGUGGACGCUACGUGCAGUAUAAUGUGUACGGCAACCUCUUUGAAGU